ACGUACACCCCUGCGGGAGGCAGCAGUGGGGAAUUUUGGACAAUGGGUGAAAGCCUGAUCCAGCAAUGCCGCGUGAGUGAAGAAGGCCUUCGGGUUGUAAAGCUCUUUUGUCAGGGAAGAAACGGUGAGAGCUAAUAUCUCUUGCUAAUGACGGUACCUGAAGAAUAAGCACCGGCUAACUACGUGCCAGCAGCCGCGGUAAUACGUAGGGUGCAAGCGUUAAUCGGAAUUACUGGGCGUAAAGCGUGCGCAGGCGGUUUUGUAAGUCUGAUGUGAAAUCCCCGGGCUCAACCUGGGAAUUGCAUUGGAGACUGCAAGGCUAGAAUCUGGCAGAGGGGGGUAGAAUUCCACGUGUAGCAGUGAAAUGCGUAGAUAUGUGGAGGAACACCGAUGGCGAAGGCAGCCCCCUGGGUCAAGAUUGACGCUCAUGCACGAAAGCGUGGGGAGCAAACAGGAUUAGAAACCCCAGUAGUCCCAU
rnacentral:rRNA from 1 species